rnacentral:rRNA from 1 species
AUGGUUCUUGAGCGUUACAAAGCUCGUCUUGUGGCUCGUAGCUUUCAGCAGAUUAUGAGUCCUGAUUACAAUGAGACUUUUUGCUCGUGCAAACCAUAUGACCACUGCUCGCACACUUCUUGUUGUGGCCUCUAUUGGCCACGGGUCUGUCUCGGCUUGAUGUUAAGAAUGCCUUUCUUAAUGGUGAGCUGCAUGAGGAGGUUUACAUGCAACCACCACCUGGGUAUUCUGCUCCGGACGACAUGCUUCAUUGUCUUCAUCGCUCUCUCUAUGUCUUUAAGCAAGCCCCUUGUGCCUAGUUUGAGUGUUUUGCCUCUGGGGUGGUUGUUGCUGGUUUUCAGCGAGUACUCAUGA